GGUGGCCUGGUGGAGAUCGAGGCUGUGGCUGUUCUGGGACCCAUCUCUGAGUCCUGACUAACCGGCCAGGGCAUCAACAAGCUGUAAACUAACUAACCUGGAAGUGAACGUUUAACAGCCUUGAAAUAGUCCUAGUUUAAACAUUAAUUCAAUUAACCCAAACCACCCUUAGACUAUACUGGCCAGACAUUCUAAUGCCUUGAAGAGGAUAUAUAAUGUCAUAACAUGUUCCUGUUUGUACACUGAACAUAAAUAUAAACAAAACAUGUAAAGUGUUGGUCCCAUGUUUCAUCAGCUGAAAUAAAAGAUCCCAGAAAUGUUCCAUGUAAACAAAAAGCUUAUUUCUCUCAAAAUCCAUAUACAGGCCUUACCCAAAGCCAUAUGCAGGCCUUACCCAAAGCCAUAUGCAGGCCUUACCCAAAGCCAUAUGCAAGCUUUACCCAAAGCCAUAUGCAGGCCUUACCCAAAGCCAUAUGCAGGCCUUACCCAAAGCCAUAUGCAGGCCUUACCCAAAGCCAUAUACAGGCCUUACCCAAAGCUAUAUACAGGCCUUACCCAAAGCUAUAUACAGGCCUUACCCAAAGCUAUAUACAGGCCUUACCCAAAGCCAUAUGCAGGCCUUACCCAAAGCCAUAUGCAGGCCUUACCCUUAAGCCAUAUGCAGGCCUUACCCAAAGCCAUAUGCAGGCCUUACCCAAAGCCAUAUGCAGGCUUACCCAAAGCCAUAUGCAGGCCUUACCCAAAGCCAUAUGCAGGCCUUACCCAAAGCUAUAUGCAGGCCUUACCCAAAGCUAUAUACAGGCCUUACCCAAAGCUAUAUACAGGCCUUACCCAAAGCCAUAUGCAGGCCUUACCCAAAGCCAUAUGCAGGCCUUACCCAAAGCCAUAUGCAGGCCUUACCCAAAGCCAUAUGCAGGCCUUACCCAAAGCUAUAUACAGGCCUUACCCAAAGCCAUAUGCAGGCCUUACCCAAAGCUAUAUACAGGCCUUACCCAAAGCUAUAUACAGGCCUUAACCAAAGCCAUAUAUAUAUUUUUUUUUUGGUCAACUGUCAAACAAACCAAAAUGUAACUUUCAACUCCAAGAAAACACAGAGAUUUACUAUACCUUUUCUGCUACCUUUUUCUCUUCAUGGGCUCUGUUCCAUCGUCUCUAUGAUGUAAUCUAACAGCGUGGAUGAGAUACUGUCUAACUGACAUAAAUACGUUUCCUCAUACAAAGGAUGAUGCUGAAACAAGCAACUUGUCUUUUAAAAAAGCAACGUCAGUGAAUGUCUUGAGUUCAGUAACUGUUUUAUUCAAACCGUUAUAACAUGGCCAACAUGGUCAUAUUAUAUACCCUUAUAACAUGGUUAUAACAUGGUUAUAACAUGGUUGUAACAUGGCCAACAUGGUCAUAUUAUAUACCCUUAUAACAUGGUUUAACAUGGUUAUAACAUGGUUAUAACAUGGCCAACAUGGUCAUAUUAUAUACCCUUAUAACAUGGUUUAACAUGGUUAUAACAUGGUUUAACAUGGUUAUAACAUGGUUGUAACAUGGUUAUAAUAUGGUUGUACAGGUCAAGCCAGCUGUAAAAACAACAUCAUGUAAAUGUCUAAUAGUUGUUGGCUUCAUUUCUGAAAUAUGUGUGAGUAAAUGGAUUCAAGUUGUUCCUGAAUGAAUUAUUCUGACAAAUUAGUGUUGGUCACUUAACACUUGAUCCCACAUACUUGAUCUCACAUACUUGAUCCCACAUCGUUACAAGGCUGUAAUACGAACUCUAGUCACCAGAAAUGUAGAUUUUAGAUUCAAGCAAAAGUUAAUAAGCAUUUAUAAGUUACUUCGAAGCAAUUAUCUAAUGAAUGUUUUAUAAACAAUGCUAAUAACACAACUAAAUGCACAGGAAAAAGAGUAUUUACAGAGGAAAAAGGCACAGUGAUGACCGAUUGAUCCUGGUCACAGGGAUCAGCUGGUCUGCAGCUUGGCAACAGGCAAGUGGUGUCAUCCUCCUUCGCUUUCGAAUUAGGACAUUCAUGCAGAUUCUUCAUCCACAAUAAUGGGAAGACCGGCUUCAUUUCCCUGACUAGGGGCUAAAAUGCAAGCGAGGAAAAUCAUAUUAGAAUGUGUGGACGUUCAAAGAAAUACGACGUAACAAGUUCACUUUGUAUUUCAUGUAAAGAACCCUUCUCACCUGGUUGCAGCUGCAUCGGCCUCUGCUGCGGCCUCAGCUGCUUUUCAGGAACAAGAACAAUAACAAAUAUGAAAAAUAAAACACAAAACAGUAAAAAAAAAACUACAUUCACUAAUUGUUUUGUGAAAAAAGUUAAGAGGCCUGGAAAGGAAAUCCUGAAAUAAAUCCUGAACUACAAAAGCUGCCGUGUUCACGGCCCUGAUAGGUCCCCUGAUUGUGUCCCUUUUCUGCUGUGUGAAGUCAGCGUAGGGCACCUUAUUUGUAGUGCACUACUUCUGACCAGGGCUCCCUAGGUUUGGUUUGGCAGGCCGUGAAUCAUUCUGCACCUCAGAGAGGCUGGUCUGCUCUCUGUGUUUCUCUGUGUCUCUCUGUGUGUCUCUGUGUGUCUCUCUCUCUAUAUCUAUGUGUGUCUCUCUGUGUGUGUGUCUCUCUGUGUGUCUCUCCGUGUGUCUGUGUCCCUCUCUCUGUGUCUCUGUGUCUCUCUGUGUGUCUCACUAUGGGUCUCUCUGUGUGUCUCUCUGUGUGUCUCUCUCUGUAUAUCUCUGUGUGUCUCUCUGUAUAUCUCUGUGUGUCUCUCUGUGUGUGUCUCUCCGUGUGUGUGUGUCCCUCUCUCUGUGUCUCUGUGUGUCUUUCUGUGAUUCUAUACUGAACCACUGGUUCAAUUCAACUAUCUACAUAAUUUGGACACACCUACUCAUUCAAGUGUUUUUCUUUAUAUUUACUAUUUUCUACAUUGUAGAAUAAUAGUGAAGACAUCAAAACUAUGAAAUAACACACAUGGAAUC
rnacentral:lncRNA from 1 species